UUCAUAGAGUGUAAAGGCAUAAGGGAGCUUGACUGCGAGACCUACAAGUCGAGCAGGGUCGAAAGACGGACUUAGUGAUCCGGUGGUUCCGCAUGGAAGGGCCAUCGCUCAACGGAUAAAAGCUACCCCGGGGAUAACAGGCUUAUCUCCCCCAAGAGUUCACAUCGACGGGGAGGUUUGGCACCUCGAUGUCGGCUCAUCGCAUCCUGGGGCUGUAGUCGGUCCCAAGGGUUGGGCUGUUCGCCCAUUAAAGCGGUACGCGAGCUGGGUUCAGAACGUCGUGAGACAGUUCGGUCCCUAUCCGUCGUGGGCGUAGGAAAUUUGAGAGGAGCUGUCCUUAGUACGAGAGGACCGGGAUGGACAUACCUCUGGUGUACCAGUUGUCGUGCCAACGGCAUAGCUGGGUAGCUAUGUGUGGACGGGAUAAGUGCUGAAAGCAUCUAAGCAUGAAGCCCCCCUCAAGAUGAGAUUUCCCAACUUCGGUUAUAAGAUCCCUCAAAGAUGAUGAGGUUAAUAGGUUCGAGGUGGAAGCAUGGUG
rnacentral:rRNA from 1 species